rnacentral:misc_RNA from 1 species
GAUGAAGAACGUAGCGAAAUGCGAUAAGUAGUGUGAAUUGCAGAAUUCAGUGAAUCAUCGAAUCUUUGAACGCACAUUGCGCCCCUUGGUAUCCCGAGGGGCAUGCCUGUUCGAGCGUCAUUUCACCACUCAAGCCUGGCUUGGUGUUGGGCGACGUCCCCUUUAGGGACGCGCCUCGAAACGCUCGGCGGCGCGGCACCGGCUUUAAGCGUAGCAGAAUCUUUCGCUUUGGAAGUCGGGGCCCCGUCUGCCGGAAGACCUGCUCGCAAGGUUGACCUCGGAUCAGGCAGGGAUACCCGCUGAACUUAAGCAUAUCAAUAAGCGGAGGA